CUGACCAAAUAAAUGAAGACAAACAUAAUAUACUUUGACCAGGGCGUGACACACACUGAUUUUCUUGUAGCAGUACAAUUCGUUGUAAUUGACUGCUGUUACUUUUCCAGAUUCUUAAUUGUCCUUCAGACAUCCUAAUCUAUUUUAAGGUGACUCAGAGUUACUGAUGGUGUCAUCAGUCUGGUGGAGCCUUCUGCCAUAACAGACAUCCAUGCAGUUGAGGAUGAAGACACCUUGUCAGCUGCCACAGAGAGGGAAGAUACAGAGAGGCCUAUUGAGAGCAAUGCUGGAAAUUACAAUGAGGAAGAGGGUCCCUCCACCUUCACAGCACAAUUUACCUCACUCCCUGUGAAACAGCUGUACAAUGUGUACUUACAGAAACAAAUUGAAAAAUGUCAUUUAGAAAUUGACCACAUAAGGCUGCAGAUGCAAAAGAUAAAAAUAUAAAUACAACUGCUAGAACAUCAGUUAAAGGUGGGUGUGGUGCCCACAGGUGGAUGAUUUUACUUGUUUGAACAACAUAAAAAUAUGAACUACUGUAUUGCAUUUGUACUU